AUGAGCCCUCCUCAGGCCCCUUCUCGAAAACCUGUCAUUACCCCAAACCUAGAAACUCCUCGUCCACCUUGCUCUCUGGAACUUUACACCAAUUUUGGAAGCGUCCCUGCCACAAGCUCAGCACCCUCUACCGCCUCCUCCAUUCCCAGUACCCUGAGCAGCUGGAGAGCAAUGGAUUCUUCAGUGUUAAUCUCAAACCCAAACCAUGUAUCCAUGAUUGGUCAAAAUGUAACACAUCCAGGGUAUCCGGGUGUCCACUCUGUUGUUGAAACCCUUCCAAACCCACAUAGAGGGGUACAAUCUCGGAUUCAAUCCACUCUACCCCACACAGGACAAGGCAGACCUAACUACACCCCUGUGUCCUCUUCUCCCUCCACCCUAAACUCAGGUCUUCAGAGAUCAGGGGAGAGUGUCAUCACCAGCAAGACUUCUCAACACUUCUUCAACACUCUCCCUCGAGUCAGUUCACCUUUACAUUGCCCUCAACCUCCAGAACACAUAAAGGUCAGCUCAGCCCUCAAGCCAAUUUCUAGUAAUUCAUACAACUCAGCGCCCAUCCAAGCUUCCUCCUCAAUUUCUCAGGCAACUACUACUGUUCCAGCCCCAGUCUACCCAAGCUCCUGUUUGCAGCCUGCUGCCCCAAGCUCUCAGUCCAUUGUUGAUGCUUUGAAUAAACUUGAUGCAGAGCUGCAAGGCCACAUGCAAGCAGAAGAGAGAAGGAGAGACCAGAAUGAAGAGAGAAAACGCAAUGUAGAAAGACAAGAAAUGGAGACAAAGCCACACGGUGAGUCUGCCAUCAAGAGUCUGGAACGUUUGCUGUCAGGUAGUGCAGCUGAGUCUCCACCUCCUUGUUUGUCUCCAGCCAAUGCACUCUCCUCCAUCUCACCUCCUAGCCAGAAUUCACCACCUUAUCCCUGGUUGAGUCGGGGAGGAGUGCCCCCACGUUUUUCUGGAACUGCAGCAAACGAUAUGGAACGGUCACAGCCACCUCCCCUCACCCCCCAGACAGAAUAUGCCCGUGAGAAGCAAAGGCAAAGAGAGAAAUGGAAGAGUGGCGCACCGUUUCAGAAUUCCACUGGGAAUCCCACAUACCCCUCAGAGUCAGGUCUCAUCAGCCCCUCCGACAGCCACACCAUGCAAUUGAAACCUGACCCAUCCAAAGAUGUCAAAAUGUUGAAAACCUCUCAUAAUGCUGAGAUUAUAAAUGCAAUUCCCAACCCUCCACCCCUGCGAGAGCCACCCAAACUUUACCAGGCUUUCCCCAAGGAUGUUCGCUCUUCAUGCACACCUAUCAGCACGACUACAAGCAGCCUUCAAAAACAUAUGCCCAGUACAGGACUUGGUAGUUUGGGUAGCAGUUCUAGAAGUUGCAGUGGUGACUCUGAUGGUGCCCAAUUUGAGGAGGAAACUUCUGAGCUCUUGCCUGAUGGAUUGGCUAAUAUUAUGAAGAUGCUGGAUGAGUCCAUCAGGAAAGAGGAGGAGUUGUAUUCUGGCCAGAGUGGAGAACAGGCAGUACUGAAACCUCUGUUUUCUACAAAUGUGGCACCUAUUAAGAGUUAUUUGUGUGCACCAGACCUCAUGCCUGCCCUAAAGCAAUCUCCAACUGAGGGUUAUCAGCCAAAUGGCCAUGCAAGCCCACCUGUGUUAAGUCGGCAAGGUUCACUGGCAUCUCCUUGUAGUCGUACUUCUUCACUUGAGGAAGAAGAGGAGGUUCUUAAGGUCAUUCCCAAGCCUGCAAAUUCCAUUAGCAUGCAGUCUCAAGAAAGCAAUCUUGCCACAACAGGAACCAAUUAUCGCCAUAGUGACCUGGCCAAGCUGUAUGGCCUUCCAGAGGUAGAGAAAAGUGAGUGUGAGGAUGAUGAAGAAGAAGCAGAUCAGGAUGAAGAUGAAACUCCAUCCUGUUCACCACCACCACAACGGCCACACCUCCAUCAGACAGGUGUGAACGGCAUGUUUAAAAACCUUGCGUCUGUACUUGAGAGCCAGAAGUACACCUACCGAGGUGGACCCUUUGGUCGUCCUCCUCCCUCUGCUUUUAUGGGAGUGAAGUAC
ensembl:lncRNA